UAUGUUCUAUUAAACCUAAAGAAUUUGGCGGUGUUUUAGUCUUUUCAGAGGAAUUUGUCCCAUUAUCGAUAAUCCUCGUUUUAUCUUUCUUGGUCUUGUUUAAUCAGUAUGUAUAUCGCCGUUAUAAGUUUAUUUUUUAAGAGUUAUUAAUUUACUGAUUAUUUUAUUUUAUGUUAUUUCAGGUCAAGGUGCAGUUUAUGAUUAAGUGGAGAUGAAUUACAAUAUUAUUUGAGUAAAUGGAUUUGUUUAAUUAAAUUUUACAGUGAAGGUGGAUUUGAUAGUAAUUUUGAUUAUAAUGUUAUUUUGAUUUUGGCUCUAAAAUAAGUACACAUCGCCCGUCGCU
rnacentral:rRNA from 1 species